rnacentral:rRNA from 1 species
GACUACGCUCGCAAGAGUGAAACUCAAAGGAAUCGACGGGGGUCCGCACAAGCGGUGGAGCAUGCGGUUUAAUUCGAUGAUACGCGAGGAACCUUACCUGGGCUAGAAUGUCGGGGGAAUAUGGGUGAAAGCUCAUAGUAUAGCAAUAUACCGCCGAUAAGGUGCUGCAUGGCUGUCGUCAGCUCGUGCCGUGGGGUGUUGGGUUAAGUCCCGCAACGAGCGCAACCCCUAUCACUAGUUGCCAUCAGGUAAUGCUGGGAACUCUAGUGAAACUGCCGCCGUAAGGCGUGAGGAAGGAGGGGAUAAUGUCAAGUCAUCAUGGCCUUUAUGCCCAGGGCUACACACGUGCUACAAUGGCGAGUACAAAGGGCAGCUACCUGGUAACAGGAUGCUAAUCUCAAAAAACUCGUCUCAGUUCGGAUUGGGGUCUGCAACUCGACCCCAUGAAGCUGGAAUCGCUAGUAAUCGUAUAUCAGCAAUGAUACGGUGAAUACGUUCCCGGACUUUGCACUCACCGCCCG